GCGGUAGUAGCUCAAUGGAUAGAGUGCCUGACUACGAAUCAGAAGGUUGCAGGUUCGACUCCUGCCUACCGCGCCA
rnacentral:tRNA from 1 species